rnacentral:tRNA from 3 species
GCGGAAGUAGCUCAGUUGGUAGAGCACAACCUUGCCAAGGUUGGGGUCGCGGAUUCGAGUUCCGUCUUCCGCUC